UGUUAAGAUAUAACGUAUCUUGAAAGUAAAGAAACGCAAGAACCCCGAUUUUCUUCUGCCUACCUGCGUGUCCCAACUUACCAUUUCUUCUGAUUUCAAACCUCAACCCUAUGGAAGCUCCUGAAUCCCUGGAAGAAAAUGGAAGCCCCUAAAUCCCUGGAAGAAAAGAAAAGCAAGAGCCCCAAAUUUCUUCUCCCACACGAGUCCCUAUCCCGUCCGGCGGUGAUCGAAAGCUUGUGCCCCUGAAUCCCUGGAAGAAAAGAAAAGCAAGAGCCCAAAGUUUCUUCUCCCACACGAGUCCCUAUCCCGUCCUUACAGGCGGUGAUCGAAAGCUUUUUUUUUGAAGGUUUUGAAAACCCCAUUUGGUCGAGAUUCCUGAGGUGCAGAACGUUAAAACUUAGGGCAUGCCCUAACUCCCUUUGUUAAUGGGCAGGUUGGCUCUGUAGUCGUUCGUCCACCCAUUUGGCAAAGGCGUUCAUCCAUGGAGGCUCCGGCAGCUAUUCACCCUCACCUUCGUAAACACAGUGUUUAGGGAAACCUAAGAUUUACGUGUUAGAGAAACGAAAGAGGGAAGAGGAGAGUUUACCCCUGCAACGCCCCUACCCACCGAUCUUGCCUGAGAACGAUCAAGCAUCAGAGUUCUUUCUGCGCUGACAGGUUUGUGAUCUCAGAAUACAAACAGGAGCUUUUGCUGGUGUGGUUUGAACAGGGAUUUACAGUAGUCGGCGAGGAUUUUCUGCAACAAGUUUGAGUAAAUCUUCGAAAACCACAUCCCGUGUGGAGCAUCUUCGUUGGGCAUUACAAUAGAAGAGUUUUUGGAAAAUUGGAGAAACGAAGGAGGGAAGAGGAGAUUUUGCCACUGCAACGUCCCAACCCACCGAUCUUGCCGGAGAACGAUCAAGCAUCGGACUUGUUUUUGCUGCGACAG